UUUUUGCUCCGUCAAAGUAUGUGCAUUCCACGACCAAACUAAUGUUCCUAGCUAGCUACCACACACAUUUGAUAUCAUAUCUCGGCCAAAUUAAAUGUUACCAGCAAAGAACUUAAGAUCAUUGUUCGCCAUCCCACAACAAUGCUCUGAUCCAAAUUUCGUGAAGAUCGGCAUUAGGUGGCGCUAUAAUCAAUGUUUAUUUGUUUAGGCCAAUAACUUAAUGCAUUUAAAUGGGACAUUUGCGAUUGUGAUAUCUCUGCUACAGUACAUGGCAUCAACAUGAAACUUUUGGUGCUUGUUCAACAUGCCGCUCUGAGGCUCUGUACCAAGUUUGGCAAAGAUCGGCCUUUAGGGGGCGGUGUAGCCAACGU